rnacentral:misc_RNA from 1 species
AACAUGAAAAAGAAGAAAAAAAAAUGCAGAACAUAGGAAAUUAGCAUCCAUUUCCACAACACAAGAGAUUCGUCUGCAUAAGGUUCAUCAUGGAUCAAUCCCAAGAACCGACCAAAAUUAACCAAAGUAUUAAUUUUAACACAACAGCAAGGAACCACCAUAUGUUAUUUUCAUCAACAGGAAUAACAAAACAAUUUGAACAGAUUAGGAAAUCCAUAUAUCACAAUGAUCACAAUGCAACAAUACAAAAUACCCAUAAACAUACGUGAAUCCUAAAUUAAAAAACUGAAAUGAAACUAGAAAUAGAUUUGAUCUUCACCUAAAACCUGGAGAGAAGAAAUAAUCUGAGUAAGAAGAAAAGGAGUGGAAAUUUAAACAAUCCCCAGUGCUUCGUCUGCCUCUAGUAAUGGUUGGCGGAAUGACAACUCUGAUAGAGAUUCAGUGUUGCGUCCAGUAUAGAGGGAUCAAUUUGUUGAUUUGAUUCGGGUGAUAUGGAUAGAAGCAAAGUCGUGAAUGAGGAAAACAGGGCAAUACGAAUCCUUUCUGUGGUGCAAAGAUUCGAAAUAGGGGUUAUAAGUGAAGAGAUUUGUGGGUUUUGGGGGAGCUCCACUGCCCUAUCUAAGAGAGGGAUGAUUCAAGUUUGAGAAAUCAUGGGUCACUGGUUCUGCGAGAAGAGGAAAGUAGGGGGGCAUGGAUGUCGUUUUGAGAGUUGAGUGUAGUGGCUUUUGUGAGGAAGGACUAUGUCGUUUUGAGAACUUAGCUUUAAAAACCCCUUUUUUACUUUCCCUAUUUG